UACGUAGGGACCAAGCGUUGUUCGGAUUUACUGGGCGUAAAGGGCGCGUAGGCGGCAAAUCAAGUCAUCUGUGAAAUCUCCGGGCUUAACUCGGAACGGUCAGAUGAUACUGCUUUGCUAGAGUGCGGAAGGGGCAAUCGGAAUUCUCGGUGUAGCGGUGAAAUGCGUAGAUAUCGAGAGGAACACCAGAGGUGAAGACGGGUUGCUGGGCCGACACUGACGCUGAGGCGCGAAAGCCAGGGGAGCAAACGGG
rnacentral:rRNA from 1 species